AUGUCAUCAGUUGAGUCUCUAGGCCUGUUUCUUUGGAUAGUAGGUUCCCCUCAAUCUGUAAGACAAGCAGCAAACAGAUUUGUUAGGUCAUUGGAGACAAUUGUAAGGAAGUUUGAUAAGGUUUUGGAAUGUCUGAUCAAGCUUGCAAAAGACAUCAUCAGGCCAGUAGAUCGUCAAUUCAGAACUGUGCAUUCAAAAUUAAGAUCUAGAAAGUAUGCACCAUUUAUGGAUAAUUGCAUUGGUGCAAUAGAUGGGACACACAUACAAGUUGUGGUACCACUUGCCACUGCUGCCCAGCAUAGGAAUAGACAUAAGGAGAAGAGUCAGAAUGUGAUGGUGUGUGACUUUGAUAUGAGAUUCACAUUUGUCCUAGCUGGUUGGCCAGGAUCAGUGCAUGACAUGAGGGUCUUCAAUGAUGCACGAUCCAGAUUUGGUGACAAGUUUCCAAAACCACCACCUAAUAAGUUUUAUCUUGUGGACUCAGGGUACCCAAAUAGACCGGGUUAUCUUGCACCAUACAAGGGUUUAACCUAUCAUUUCCAGGAGUACCGUGAUGGCACAAUGCCUAGAGGAAAAAAGGAACACUUCAAUUUCACCCAUUCUUCACUUAGAAAUGUCAUCGAGAGGUGUUUUGGAGUCUUGAAGAACAAGUGGAGGAUUUUGUUUCACUUGCCUAGUUAUCCACAGCAGAAACAAAGCAAAAUCAUUGUGGCUUGCAUUGCACUGCACAAUUUUAUUAGACAAAGUCAACUGCCCGAUAUAGAGUUCGACAAGUGUGAUCAAGAUGAAAACUAUGUACCAUUGUCUAUGCCAACGACCACAAAAAAUGAUUCAACAAAUGAGAUGGACAGUGCUGCUAUGAAUCAAUUCAGAGCUUGGGUCGCUGAUGGGUUGUGGUCCUUGAAACAACAAUGA
rnacentral:rRNA from 1 species